GCUGCUGUGGUCUAGCGGUAUGAUGUUCGUUUCCCAUGCGGACGAUCCGGGUUCGACUCCCGGCGGCAGCA
rnacentral:tRNA from 1 species